UCCCUGCACAGCUGCACUUCUAAUGUCUAAAGGAGGUCGGGUAUAAUGUCCCCCUUUAUUCCUGCGAACAUUAACAUGUUCCACCUGCUCCUGGGCACAGAGUCGAGGAGGGCAGCAAACAGCUGAGGAAUGCUCCCCUUGAUGUUGAAUUACGCAGCCUUUCAUCACAUCUCGACACAGAGGAAUUCUUGGCGAGCUCAGGUCGACGUCUCCGCAGAUUACGCCGAGGCUCCAGAGGCAGAGGUAAACUAUUGUCUGAGCGGGCGGGAGCGUUAUCAGCUGCUCUGAGCUCGGCGUGGAUUUGCGACGGAGCUCGAGAGGGCUUCGCUCCCGAUACAUUCAUCACAGCCCUGCUGCCAGCAGACAGACCAAGGCCUUGUAUGGAGGCCGUUUCAGUGGGGGAAUAAACCCAAUAUGUCUGUCCAGCUCAUCAACUCUCAAGCAAGUAGAGGAGCUUCAUUGCACUCAUCUGGAGUGAAAGAAAACGGUCUGAGCAAAUAAAAUAUCACUUUAAGUA